GAUUGAAGUGAAUUCUCCUUCUUUCAUCAACAGAGCUGAAGUUGAUUGGGCAUUCGGAAGCAGUCACUGAAAGGAAGUACUUAGAAGACCCAUGGCAAUGACCCAUGAGCAAAACUUCUCUACUUCCUCUGGACACCCAUUCUCCUGUUGACUGCACAGCUUCUCCUGCAGAGUUCACUCUGUAGAUGAAAAUGGUCAUUAGGAGGGAGCAGUGGCAGGUCUUGGCCCUGAAGUGUCCCAGAGGAGUGAGGUCUGGUAAGUGAAGCCAGUGGACAUUUCCAUUGCCAAGGCUACUGAUGUUUGCACAAAGCAACAUGAAGAAACACGGAGAAAACUCUGCAGUCCAAGGCCUGGGGUACCACAUGGGAAAGGGCAGCCUUGGUUUGCUCUCCCAUCCCCCAAAAUACCUCCUGCCUCAACAGAGAAUGGGCCAGGUGAUGGGCUGUUCAUCUUUCCUCUGAAGAAGCACCCAACCUUUUGGAUUUCAUUGAGACAAGAGAAGAGAGGCACAAUGAGAUGAGGACACAGGCCAAAGACCCAGAGGGCCUGGGCCCACCUAGUUCUCAAAUAGGAAGUGAAGAAUACCCAGAGAGACCACCCUGCAGAACUCUAAGGGACGAGACACACACAGAAAAAGACCCUGAGCUCCUAGAGGGAGAACCCGGGUGGCUGAGAAGCACCUGCCUCAUCUGAGUGCUCAGGGCACAGCGGCUGAUGAACAGGCCAGAGGAUCCAUCCCACCACCGACCAGCUCAAUUGUUGGAGCCUAAUUGAUUUGGGUCCUUUGGAAGUGCUUUUGUUUUCUUUUGUUUUGUGUUUUAAAUAAACUCUGUGUUCGAUGUGGGGCUCAAACUCACCACCCCGAGAUCCAG